rnacentral:rRNA from 1 species
CAAUAGCGUAUAUUAAAGUUGUUGCGGUUAAAAGCUCGUAGUUGGAUUUCUGCUGAGGACGAUCGGUCCGCCCUCUGGGUGAGCAUUGACUCGGCCUUGGCAUCUUCUUGGAGAACGCUACUGCACUUGACUGUGUGGUGCGGUAUCCAGGACUUUUACUUUGAGGAAAUUAGAGUGUUUCAAGCAGGCGCACGCCUUGAAUACAUUAGCAUGGAAUAAUAGGAUAGGACCUUGGUUCUAUUUUGUUGGUUUCUAGAGCUGAGGUAAUGAUUAAUAGGGAUAGUUGGGGGCAUUCGGUAUUUAACUGUUCAGAGGUGAAAUUCUUGGGAUUUGUUAAAAUGACUGGACUUAACUGGCGAAAGCAUUUGCCAAGGAUGAUUUUCAUUGAUCAAGAACGAAAUGUUAGGGGAUCGAAGACGAAUC